rnacentral:lncRNA from 1 species
GGUGUUUGAAACCACCGAAAUGGAUGAGAUUUCCUGGAUAGCAAGAAUAGUGUGUAGAGAAAAGAAAAUUGGGAAUUUCGUUGCCCCAACAUGUUGCUAACUAGAUACAUUUUGUGCUUCCGUCCUUCCUUUUCUCCAUUUUAGGCUCUGAGGAUUAUUUAACAGGAGAAACAGAUUGUGGAACUGUAGAAGUCCAGCCUCCCAAACUACAGUUGUGUGUCUGCUCUGAUUUUGGUUUUAGAAACAGUAGUAGUUACUGUGAGACAACCAGAAUGUAUGCUGUUUCUUGUUUUCAGAUUGGAGGGUGCCAUAAUCAGAGUAUCUCCCCUUACGCGUGGUUUCAGUUUCGCUUUCGGCAGUUUCAGAAACCCGCCAGUCAACCCUGGCAGGAAGCAGAUGAUUCUGACGAAUCAUCACAAAGCCAAUAGCAGCCUAACUCUGCGUCAGGAAGCUGCGUCAUUCCCCGCACUUCGUUUCUUCACGUAGGCGUUUUAUCAUUUCACGUCAGCACAGGAAGAAGGGUGAGUGCAAGGUGUUUUGAGACGACACAUUCACAUAACUUUUAUUAUAGUAUAUUGUUAUAAUUAUUCUAUUUUAGCUUACUAUUAUUUUUUAAUUAUUUUUUUUAAGUUUAUUCGUUUAUUUUGAGACAGAGACCGCGUGAGUGGGGGAGGGGUAGAGAGAGGGAGACAGAAUCCCAAGCGGGAUCCUCACUGUCAACAGAGCCCGAUGAGGGGCUCAAACUCAGGUCAUGACCUGAGCUGAAAUCAAGAGUCAGGAUGCUUAACCAACUCAGCUAAUUAUUCUAUUUUAUUAUUAGUUGUUGUUAAUCUCUUACUGUGCUUAAUUUAUCAAUUAAAUGUUAUCAUAGGUACCUCCGUGCAGGAAAAAACAUAGUAUAUACUAAGAUUCAGCACUAUCUGCAUUUCAGGCAUCCUCAAGGGAUCUUGGAACACAUACCCUGUGGAUAAGGGGGGGGGACUACUUUAUUUACCAGCUGUUUAUUGUUAGUACAUAGGCAAUACUAAUUUUUAAAAAAAUAUCUAGCUACUUUACUGAACUCUCAUACUGAUGUAUCAUUCUUUUCAAUUGGUUUUCUUAGGUUUUGUAAGUAUUCACACUAUUGUUAUUUGUAAAUAGUAGUAAUUUUGUUUCUCAUCCCUGACUUUCAAACAAUUAUAACAUUUAGUUCUCUUUCACACAUAACUCAAUUACUGGUGGUGACAAAGGAUAGAUUUAUAUGGCUAAAUGAAGACAAUUAAAAUUUAAAACUAAUUUUAGCCUAAUUUGUAAAUCUCCCUUGUAAAAUCUUUUAUAACAAAUAAACAAUUAUUUUGUCAUUACCUCA